CAAUACGGUUAAUAUAAUUUAAAUAUAUUGAAAAGUCAUGUAACAAUUUUUGCAACUUGUUAUUAAUUUUAUUGUUUAAUAUAUUUCUUAAGAUUAAAGGUUAUUUAUUAUUAUGGUUCGUCAUUUUUACGAGAAUCUCAUUGAAUGUCUGUGCACGCAUCUAAAAUCGGAGUCUUGGCACUUUUCAAUUGCCAAUUGGCACUGUACAAAUCCGUUUAGUUGCCGCACAUUUAAAAAUGGGUAUUUUAUGUACAAGUCUUCUGCUAGGUUGUAAUAGUUUAGAGAGAGAAUAUACUUUUUACAGCUUUAUUUUGACACGUUUGCGACCUACUCCAUACAUAGUAACUCGUAUUUUCCCCAACUGGAUUAUAGGUGGCUGUGAGAUACAGUGGAGGAUCUGGAGGGUUUUGGUACGUGAGGCGAAACCCAGAAAGUAAUUAUAAUAUACUUUCUUAUGGACUUUCUAAUAUACUUUCUUAUGGAAUUAUAAUAUGGACUACUUCUUCAACUUCAAUAAAAUUAUAAUAUAUG